UUUAUGACAGAUCAAAUUUAAUAAUAUACUUUCGAAAUCAGACAAAUUUACAAUGAAUAAAUUUAUAGAUUGUCAUAACAAACAAAUACCAAAAAGUGCUUAUAACAGCUAAUUUACUUAUUGAACACUUUUUAUUGUUCUUGCGCCUUUUUCGAGUUUAAAUUAAAAUUCUCUUCGAAGGCGAGUGUCCAAUGCAUGGUGAAGAAAUGCACUGAGCACACAACGGUCUCCUUUUGGAUCUAAUUAGAAGCACAAAAGCGGCUUCUGCAACGGCAACAGCAAUGAGGCGAUGCGAUGCGAUGAGCUUGGCUCGCAUCUAAGCGCAUUAAGUAUGCGCCUCGUGCGCCAAUUAAGUUGAGUCAGCUUCGUAUCAGCAUCAACAUUGGCGUCAGCAGCGUUGUCAGCUCCGUUGGUCUGCCGCGUGCCGCUUAGCGUUUGUAAAUCUCUUAAUCGCUGCGGACUUCAGGUGUGCCAGGAGAUUGUUCCAAGGUAAACUAAAAUUAAAAAAAAGAUGGCAAUAUUAAUUUGUUUUCAUACAACAAACUAAGAGUUUACCUAGGUUUAUUGCAUUAUAAAUAUGAAACAAUUAAAAUAUGCCUCUAAGUAACUCAAUAAUAAACCUAAGCGGGAACAUUAAGUAUUAUUAGAAUACAACAUUUGUGGCUUGAAGUAAAAUGUUUUUCU